rnacentral:rRNA from 1 species
AAAUUGAAGAGUUUGAUCAUGGCUCAGAUUGAACGCUGGCGGCAGGCCUAACACAUGCAAGUCGAGCGGUAGCACAGAGAGCUUGCUCUCGGGUGACGAGCGGCGGACGGGUGAGUAAUGUCUGGGAAACUGCCUGAUGGAGGGGGAUAACUACUGGAAACGGUAGCUAAUACCGCAUAAUGUCGCAAGACCAAAGUGGGGGACC